AGUUGCAGGUUCAAAUAUGACAUUCAAUGAUCAUCUAAACUGCUUUUUGUUGGUCUCCAAUGGAAAGACAUAUGUCUACGAAAACAUUGAUUCUUAUGGUAAGCUAUAUUUAAUCCAUAUUUACAUCCAUUCAUAUUUCUUUUCAUUAUGUUUAUUCAAUUAUUCAAAAUCCUAUUAUUAUGUAUCAAAUAUAUCUUUUCAAUUACAUUUAAAUAUUAAAUAUUAUAUUUUUCCAGAGUUUGUACUUUUAUUUUUAUUAGACAUGACUUGAAAAGGGAUUUUCCCACUUCCCAAUAACUGUUGGGAAGUUACAUCGAGUAGAUUAUCGAGACAUCAACUAGCUGACUCAAAAACCCAUCAAAUCAUAGACAUUGGAACAAGCAAUUGUGAAACAGUACUAGACCUUCCUUCCUCUCUCACUCUGCCCAAACCGAAAACAGGGAUUUGUCACCAUCAACUGAUCCUGUCGAACAAAGCCACUUAAAGAUUAUGAACAUGAGUUCUCAGUCAUCAACUGAUUCAAAUGUUGUCCAACCUAACUUAAUGGGAUGUACACUCACAUAUCAAUUUGUAGCUGUAUUCCAUACCAACAGAAACCUGAUUGAGAUACCAUCAAUCUACCACAUGCAAUGGGCUCCUCACUAUCCACCGAAGUGCUAUUCGCAUAUAAUGGAAGCAGCUAUAUUGUAAAAGUUAGAAAAGCUGACAACAAAUACUUCUUUGCUGAUGGUUUGAAGGAAUUCAGGAAAGUGUUGAACAUUCAAGAAGGUAUUGUCAUCACUUAUGCUGCUCCAGAGAGAUAUUGGAUAUUCAAUCUUCACUUCAUGCUACCACUAGAUAAUCAGACAUGUGGAAGUCAUCCAACAACACGAAGAACACAUGUCUGGAUGGUAAAACUUACUGAAGCUAUGAUCUCAACUCCACGU